CCUACGGGUGGCAGCAGUCGAGAAUCAUUCACAAUGGGGGAAACCCUGAUGGUGCGACGCCGCGUGGGGGAAUGAAGUUCUUCGGAUUGUAAACCUCUGUCAUGUGGGAGCAAAUUACAACGAUAGUACCACACCAGGAAGAGACGGCUAACUCUGUUCCAGCAGCCGCGUGAAUACAGAGGUCUCAAGCGGUGUUCGGAAUCACUGGGCGGAAAGCGUGCGUAGGCUGUUUCGUAAGUAGUGUGUGAAAGGCGCGGGCUCAACCCGCGGACGGCACAUGAUACUGCGAGACUAGAGUAAUGGAGGGGGAACCGGAAUUCGCGGUGUAGCAGUGAAAUGCGUAGAUAUCGAGAGGAACACUCGUGGCGAAGGCGGGUUCCUGGACAUUAACUGACGCUGAGGCACGAAGGCCAGGGGAGCGAAAGGGAUUAGAUACCCGAGUAGUC
rnacentral:rRNA from 1 species